rnacentral:rRNA from 1 species
CCGGUGCACUUCGCCUGGUUUAGGCCAGCAUCGGUUCUCUUAGGGGGAUAAAGGCCGGGGGAACGUAGCUCUUUCGGGAGUGUUAUAGCCCCUGGUGUAAUACCCUUCGGGGGACCGAGGAACGCGCAUCUGCAAGGAUGCUGGCGUAAUGGUCGUCAACGACCCGUCUUGAAACACGGACCAAGGAGUCGAACAUUUGUGCGAGUGUUUGGGUGUUAAACCCUCACGCGUAAUGAAAGUGAACGGAGGUGAGAGCCCUUCGGGGUGCAUCAUCGACCGAUCCUGAUGUCUUCGGAUGGAUUUGAGUAAGAGCAUAACUGUUCGGACCCGAAAGAUGGUGAACUAUGCGUGGAUAGGGUGAAGCCAGAGGAAACUCUGGUGGAGGCUCGCAGCGGUUCUGACGUGCAAAUCGAUCGUCAAAUCUGCGCAUGGGG